AUGCAGAUCAACUCGAGCUCGGAGCAACCACCUCGACCGGAUCGACGCCUUCUUCUUCCUCGGUCGUCACCGCUGCUCUUCAUCGAUCCGUCGCCUCUGCAGCUCCUAAGCCACCAACGGGCCUCCGUGUGCCUCCGCGACUACGAGGCUGAUACUGCUGCUGGUACCCCGAUCGACUACGGUGUUGACGACCCCUCUUUCUUGUCUGAGCAACCAGACGAUGGAGCCCAGGAGCCAGACGCCACCGUCGAUGACGACUACUACCCCGGAGGUGCCUACUACUACGUGCAGCCCGAUGACGACGACCAUGAGUAG
rnacentral:rRNA from 1 species